UAAUACGGGGGGGGCAAUCGUUGUUCGGAAUUACUGGGCGUAAAGGGCCAGUAUGCGGCCAACUAAGUCGGAUGUGAAAUCCCCAGGCUUAACUUGGGAACUGCAUCCGAUACUGGAUGGCUUGAAUUCGGGAGAGGGAUGCACAAUUCCACGUGUAGCGGUGAAAUGCGUAGAUAUCUGGAGGAAUACCGGUGGCGAAGGCGGCAUCCUGGACCGAGAUUGACGCUGAACGGCGAAAGCUAAGGGAGCAAACGGGAUUNUAUACCCCGGUAGUCCUAGCCCUAAACGAUGAAUGCUUGGUGUGGCGGGUAUCGAUCCCUGCCCGUGCCGAAGCUAACGCAUUAAGCAUUCCGCCUGGGGAGUACCGUCGCAAGGCUGAAACUCCUAAGGAAUUGACGGGGGCCCGCACAAGCCGUGGANCAUGUGGUUCAAUNCNACGCAACGCGAAGAACCUUACCCAGGCUCGAACGGCAUUGNACAUCCGGCGAAAGCCGGCUCCCGCAAGGGCCGAUGUCGAGGUGCUGCAUGGCUGUCGUCAGCUCGUGUCGUGAGAUGUUGGGUUAAGUCCCGCAACGAGCGCAACCCUUGUCCGCUGUUGCCAUCCGGUAAUGCUGGGCACUCUGCGGAGACUGCCGGUGAUAAACCGGAGGAAGGUGGGGAUGACGUCAAGUCAGCAUGGCCUUUAUGUCUGGGGCCACACACGUGCUACAAUGGCCGAUACAAACCGUCGCGAUACCGCAAGGUGGAGCUAAUCGGAGAAAGUCGGUCUCAGUUCGGAUUGCAGGCUGCAACUCGCCUGCAUGAAGUUGGAAUCGCUAGUAAUCGCGGAUCAGCACGCCGCGGUGAAUACGUUCCCGGGCCUUGUACACACCGCCCGUCACAUCACGAAAGCCGGCUGUACUAGAAGUCGCCGCGUUAACCCGCAAGGGAGACAAGCGCCUAAGGUAUGGUCGGUGAUUGGGGUG
rnacentral:rRNA from 1 species